GGCGGGGGGGGGAGGACGGAGCUUACUAACCUAAUAAAUGUCGAGUUCCCCUGCAGUCCGUGGCCUUGGCCGUGUCGGACAUACCGAUAGUGGACUGAAAGACACUGCGUGGCGAGGUUUCGCGCCCUUUAAAUGUCGAGAGAGACGGUACCAUCAUUGAAGAAAGCAUCUUGUAUAUGCUAAGAGGCAAAAACAAAGGAUGCCUUUUUCUAUAUGGACAGUAUCACAGGAACAGUGGAGAGCUGCCACCAGCAGCAAAGAGAUGAGAUAGAAAAAAACACUCAUGAUUGAUAUGAGUAAUGAAGCAUUUUUAACUUCUGCUGCCCUCUUCUUCUGAUCCAUUUGAAGAAUUGUCUUCUUUCUACCUCCCAGAGAAAUAGAAGAAGGGAAACAUCAGUUAAGUCUGCCUUC